rnacentral:rRNA from 1 species
UACGUAGGCAGCAAGCGUUGUUCGGAGUUACUGGGCGUAAAGAGUGCGUAGGCGGUGCUCUAAGUUUGGUGUGAAAUCUCCCGGCUUAACUGGGAGGGUGCGCCGAAAACUGGAGUGCUUGAGUAUGGGAGAGGCAAGCGGAAUUCCUGGUGUAGCGGUGAAAUGCGUAGAUAUCAAGAGGAACACCUGAGGUGAAGACGGGUUGCUGGGCCGACACUGACGCUGAGUGCGCGAAAGCCAGGGGAGCAAACGGG